UACAGAGGUCUCAAGCGUUGUUCGGAUUCAUUGGGCGUAAAGGGUGCGUAGGUGGCGGGGUAAGUCAGGUGUGAAAUCUCGGGGCUCAACCCCGAAACUGCACUUGAUACUGCCUUGCUUGAGUACUGGAGAGGAGAUUGGAAUUUACGGUGUAGCAGUGAAAUGCGUAGAUAUCGUAAGGAAGAACAGUGGCGAAGGCGAAUCUCUGGACAGUUACUGACACUGAGGCACGAAGGCCAGGGGAGCAAACGGG
rnacentral:rRNA from 1 species